UACGGAGGGUGCAAGCGUUAUCCGGAAUCACUGGGUUUAAGGGGUGCGUAGGUGGCACCGUAAGUCAGAAGUGAAAGUUUGCGGCUUAACCGUAAAAUUGCUUUUGAUACUGCGAUGCUUGAAUCAGGUUGAGGUUGGCGGAAUGUGGCAUGUAGCGGUGAAAUGCUUAGAUAUGCCAUAGAACACCGAUUGCGAAGGCAGCUGACUGGACCUGUAUUGACGCUGAGGCACGAAAGCGUGGGGAGCGAAC
rnacentral:rRNA from 1 species